AGUUGGGGAUGAGGGAGAAAUAUCUGCGUGUGUUUUGUUUGUUUGUUUGUUUGUUUUGAGACAGAAUUUCACCCUGUCAUCCAGGCUGGAGUGCAGUGUCAUCAUCUCAGCUCACUACAACCUCUGCCUCCCUGGGUUCAAAUGAUUCUCUUGCCUCAGCCUCAUGAGUAGCUGAGAUUACAGGCAGGUGCCAUCACACCCGACUAAUUUUUUGUUUUGUUUUUCUUUUUGUACUUUUAGUAGACAUGGGGUUUCACCAUGUUGGCCAGGCUGGUCUCAAACUCCUGACCUCAGGUGAUCCUCCUGCUUCAGCCUCCCAAAGUGCUGGGAUUACAGGCAUGAGGCACAGCACCUGGCCAAGGGAGAAAUAUUUGAAGAAGCAGUUGAUGUGCUGUGAGUCCCACCUUCUCUCAAAAACCAGCAAUGGAGGAUGCUUCCCCCACCUCCCACUUCGUCUCAAAGGAGAACAGCUCUUUAAAGUGACCACUCCGAGCUCUGCUAUGGUUCAAAUCUAUACUGGAGUGUGAGUUACAGAAGGACUCGAUCAGGCACUGCUUCUUCUUCUGGAGGCUGGCGAGGCCACCGGGGGACCCAGCUGUGGAGGAGGAGGUGCUCUUGGUGGUCAGGGGAAAGAACCAGCUCAUCCUCCUAGGUCCCUGGGCCCCAGGCCCUGGAAGGCUCUGGCCUGCUUCUCCCAGCCGCUAGACCCAGCGGUUGUCCAGCAAUAGAGGAGUGGGCUGAGACAUCCAUGGCCUGAGCAUUGGGGACCUCGUCUUCUCUAAGCCAGCCCUGCUUGUGCUCCCCACUUCCUGGGGUUCUGGGGGACAUGCUAUGAAUGGCGGGCAGCCGGAAAGGGGAACUUGCCACUCAGAACAGGCAGUCCCACCUUCACGGUCCAGACGCCCAAGCUCAGCUGGACAGUCAGGCAGCCUGACCACCCGGUGCUCCACCACCCUUGUCACUGUCUCUAAAAGGGCUCUUUUUUCCCCCCCAACCUACAGACAAUGGGUACUUCUGAAUAAAAGGACUCUUUUUUAAAAGCAUGGGUACAAUGUUAUUAUCACACCUUUAGAAAACCUAACAAUAAUCAAUAAUUAUCAUCAAAUAUCUAGGUAACAUAAAGCAAAUAAUAUUCAUUGACACCCCCACCCUGGAAAAAAAAAGCCAACCACUCAUUGCUAAGUGAGAAAAGGAAAACAGAAUAGACUCUGACCCUAUUUUGGCAAUAUACACAUCCUAAGGUAACAGUGAUUUGGGGUUAGAAAGAUUAUGGAUGCUUUAUUAAUCCUUAAGUUCUCUGUAUUACUUUUUGUUUGUUUGUUUUUUUGUUUUUGAGACAGAGUCUUAUUCUGUCACCCAGGUUGGAGCACAGUGGUGUAGUCACAGCUCACUGCAGACUCAACCUCCUGGCUCAAGCAAUCCUCCCACUUCAGCCUCCCAAGUAGCUGGGACUACAGGGGCACACCACUACAUCCAGCUAACUUUUUUAUUAUUUGUAAAGAUGAGGCCUCCCUAUGCUGCCCAGGCUAGUCUCCAACUCCUGGGCCCAAGCAAUUCUCCCACCACAGCCUCACAAAGUGCUAAGAUUACAGGCGUGAGCCACCAGGCCCAGUCCAUAUUACUUUUUGAAUUAAAAAAUAAUGCAAAAGGAAGAAUAAGAUGAUAGACUUCUUUUUCAAAGUCGAAAUCCUCUGCUUUAUGAUUUUAGUAUUAAGGAUUUAUACUGUCCCAUCUUGAAAUGAAGAAGACACAGCCCCCCAGAGAAGUUAAGGGUCUUGGCCGUAAUCUCUGAGUAGGGGGAAGGCUGUGAGGAGAGAGGGGUAUCCUGCUGGAUUCCCAGACUCUUGGAGGAAACAGAGACAGAGGCCCUGGGACACCUCUCAAGCUCUGGUCCCUGUUGUCCCACUACCUUCACCCUCUUACCUUCCCAUCUUUAUCAAGCCUCACACAUUUGGGGCACUUUGCUGCUGGAGUUGACAG
rnacentral:lncRNA from 1 species